GGCACAGUGGUGCAGUGGGUAGCACUGGUGUCUCAUAAUGAUUGGGCAUGGGUUCAAAACUCAUCUGGUCA
rnacentral:tRNA from 1 species